rnacentral:rRNA from 1 species
UACGUAGGGUGCGAGCGUUAAUCGGAAUUACUGGGCGUAAAGCGUGCGCAGGCGGCGCGGUUAAGACAGGUGUGAAAGCCCCGAGCUUAACUUGGGAAUUGCGCUUGUGACUGGCGUGCUGGAGUGUGGCAGAGGGAGGUGGAAUUCCACGUGUAGCAGUGAAAUGCGUAGAGAUGUGGAGGAACACCGAUGGCGAAGGCAGCCUCCUGGGCCAGCACUGACGCUCAUGCACGAAAGCGUGGGGAGCAAACAGG